CCGCACUGGCCGGGGAGUUAGCGGUGCCCUGUACCUGCAAUCCGCUUGAGCAGGGGUGAGAUACGUUUAGCUGAGGGUUGGCGUUGUGGAAACGGCAUUCCCGGGCGGAAUAAGUUGGUCUUGCGCAACGGACGUGCUGUGAACCGUGUCAGGCGGGGAACCGAGCAGCACUAAGCGGUCAUCGUUCGUGUGCUGUGAGAAACCUGCCGAAGCUGCUUUGGGUUUGUACGACCGUGAUACAGCUCGAGGCGCGUCGUGCGG
rnacentral:SRP_RNA from 1 species